GAUGAACGCUGGCGGCGUGCCUAAUACAUGCAAGUCGAGCGAACAGACGAGGAGCUUGCUCCUCUGACGUUAGCGGCGGACGGGUGAGUAACACGUGGAUAACCUACCUAUAAGACUGGGAUAACUUCGGGAAACCGGAGCUAAUACCGGAUAAUAUAUUGAACCGCAUGGUUCAAUAGUGAAAGGCGGUUUUGCUGUCACUUAUAGAUGGAUCCGCGCCGCAUUAGCUAGUUGGUAAGGUAACGGCUUACCAAGGCGACGAUGCGUAGCCGACCUGAGAGGGAGGACGGCCGUACCGGAACUGAGAAGCGGUUCCGGCUCCAUCGGGAGGCAACAGUUGGGGAUCUUCCGCAAUGGGCGAAAGCCUGACGGAGCGACGCCGCGUGGGUUAUGAAGGUCUUCGGUGCGUAAAACUCUGUUAUUAGGGAAGAACAAAUGUUUAAAUAACUGUGGACGUCUUGACGGUAACGAAACAGGAAGCCACGGCUAAGUACGGG
rnacentral:rRNA from 1 species